UCUUUGACAAAUCUUUCAUCUUCCUCAGCUUGAAGCACAGGCAAUAUUGCUCGCCGGGCUGCAUAUUUUUCUUCUUUCAGCGCCCUUCGGAUCUUGUUGCCCUUGCCGACCUGAUACAUCCCCCAAGAGAAUGCACCAAAAGCAGUAAGGAAAAUGGCCAUGGCGCUAGGGCCUUUGGUGGGAAUCCGGCGAGCGUAGCGAACCGGAGCGAAUCCACCCGGCGGUGGCCCGUCUUGGAGGAUCGGCAUGUCUUUGACGCUGGCCAUGCCAGGCUUCUUCCGAAUCGCGGCCUCCGUCAUCUCAGAGAGCUUUGCCGACGAUCAAAUAGACGAAUCAAGCAAGAGCUAGGUGUAGUGGAGAAAUGGGAUUUGGGAAUUGG
rnacentral:misc_RNA from 1 species